GGGGGGGGGGGGGGGGGGGGGGGGGGGGGGCGGGGGGGGGGGGGGAGGGGCUGCGGGGGGGGUGGGUGUGGGUGAGUGGCGGACGGGGGGGUGACACGUGGGUGACCUGCCGCCUUCUUCGGGGUAACCGCGUUGACUGGUGGCUAAUACGGGGUAGUCUGGGUCUGUCGCAUGGUUGUUCUUGGGAAGAUAUUGUUUCGGUGUGGGCGGUGGUCGCGGCCUGUCAGCUUGUUGGUGGGGUGCUGGCCUACUACGGCGGUGACGGGUAGCCGGCCUGAGGGGGUGGACGGUCACACUGGGACUGAGACACGGCCCAGACUCCUACGGGAGGCAGCAGGGGGGAAUAUUGCACAAUGGGCGCAAGCCUGAUGCAGCGACGCCGCGUGAGGGAUGGAGGCCUUCGGGUUGUGAACCUCUUUCGCCAGUGAAGCAGGCCUGCCUCGUUUGUGGGUGGGUUGACGGUAGCUGGAUAAGAAGCGCCGGCUAACUACGUG
rnacentral:rRNA from 1 species